rnacentral:rRNA from 1 species
UACGGAGGAUGCAAGCGUUAUCCGGAAUGAUUGGGCGUAAAGGGUCCGCAGGUGGAAUUUCAAGUCUGCUGUCAAAGCGUGAAGCUUAACUUCAUAAAGGCAGUGGAAACUGAGAAUCUAGAGUACGUUCGGGGCAGAGGGAAUUCCCAGUGUAGCGGUGAAAUGCGUAGAGAUUGGGAAGAACACCAGUGGCGAAAGCGCUCUGCUAGGCCUGUACUGACACUGAGGGACGAAAGCUAGGGGAGCGAAUGGGAUUAGAUACCCCCGUAGUCC